rnacentral:rRNA from 1 species
CCUACGGGAGGCAGCAGUGAGGAAUAUUGGUCAAUGGACGAGAGUCUGAACCAGCCAAGUAGCGUGAAGGAUGACUGCCCUAUGGGUUGUAAACUUCUUUUAUAUGGGAAUAAAAUGUUCCACGUGUGGGAUUUUGUAUGUACCAUAUGAAUAAGGAUCGGCUAACUCCGUGCCAGCAGCCGCGGUACUACGGAGGAUCCGAGCGUUAUCCGGAUUUAUUGGGUUUAAAGGGAGCGUAGGUGGAUUGUUAAGUCAGUUGUGAAAGUUUGAGGCUCAACCGUAAAAUUGCAGUUGAAACUGGCAGUCUUGAGUACAGUAGAGGUGGGCGGAAUUCGUGGUGUAGCGGUGAAAUGCUUAGAUAUCACGAAGAACUCCGAUUGCGAAGGCAGUUCACUGGACUGAAACUGACACUGAGGCUCGAAAGUGUGGGUAUCAAACAGGAUUAGAUACCCCUGUAGUC